UACGUAGGGUGCGAGCGUUGUCCGGAAUUACUGGGCGUAAAGAGCUCGUAGGUGGUUUGUCGCGUUGUUCGUGAAAACUCACAGCUCAACUGUGGGCGUGCGGGCGAUACGGGCAGGCUAGAGUUCGGUAGGGGAGACUGGAAUUCCUGGUGUAGCGGUGAAAUGCGCAGAUAUCAGGAGGAACACCGGUGGCGAAGGCGGGUCUCUGGGCAGUAACUGACGCUGAGGAGCGAAAGCGUGGGGAGCGAACAGG
rnacentral:rRNA from 1 species